UGCAGUCGGACGGGAUUGAGGAGCUUGCUUCUCAUGAGAGUGGCGCACGGGUGCGUAACACGUAUGUAACCUACCUUGUUCAGGGGGAUAGCCUCUCGAAAGAGAGAUUAACACCGCAUAAAAUCAAUUUAUGGCAUCAUAGAAUGAUCAAAUAUUUAUAGGAACAAGAUGGGCAUGCGGAACAUUAGCUAGUUGGUAAGGUAACGGCUUACCAAGGCUACGAUGUUUAGGGGAUCUGAGAGGAUGACCCCCCACACUGGUACUGAGACACGGACCAGACUCCUACGGGAGGCAGCAGUAAGGAAUAUUGGUCAAUGGACGCAAGUCUGAACCAGCCAUGCCGCGUGCAGGAAGACGGCCCUACGGGUUGUAAACUGCUUUUGUACCGGAAUAAACCUUUUCACGUGUGAGAAGCUGAAUGUACGGUAAGAAUAAGGAUCGGCUAACUCCGUGCCCGCAGCCGCGGUAAUACGGAGGAUCCAAGCGUUAUCCGGAUUUAUUGGGUUUAAAGGGUGCGUAGGUGGCCUAUUAAGUCAGGGGUGAAAGACGGUAGCUUAACUAUCGCAGUGCCUUUGAUACUGAUGGGCUUGAAUACACUUGAGGUAGGCGGAAUGUGACAAGUAGCGGUGAAAUGCAUAGAUAUGUCACAGAACACCAAUUGCGAAGGCAGCUUACUAAAGUGUUAUUGACACUGAGGCACGAAAGCGUGGGGAUCAAACAGGAUUAGAUACCCUGGUAGUCCACGCCCUAAACGAUGAAUACUCGAUGUUGGCGAUAUACGGUCAGCGUCUAAGCGAAAGCGUUAAGUAUUCCACCUGGGGAGUACGCCCGCAAGGGUGAAACUCAA
rnacentral:rRNA from 1 species